GCCUUCGUGGUGUAGUGGUCAGCACGCUUGACGUGUAACCGAGAGGUCCGUGGUUCGAUUCCCGGCGAAGGCG
rnacentral:tRNA from 1 species